rnacentral:rRNA from 1 species
UGCAGUCGAGCGCGAAAACACUUCGGUGUGAGUAGAGCGGCGGACGGGUGAGUAAUGCUUGGGAAUCUGCCCAGUAGUGGGGGAUAACGUGUGGAAACGCACGCUAAUACCGCAUACGUCCUACGGGAGAAAGCAGGGGAUCUUCGGACCUUGCGCUAUUGGAUGAGCCCAAGUCGGAUUAGCUUGUUGGUGGGGUAAUGGCCUACCAAGGCGACGAUCCGUAGCUGGUCUGAGAGGAUGAUCAGCCACACUGGGACUGAGACACGGCCCAGACUCCUACGGGAGGCAGCAGUGGGGAAUAUUGCACAAUGGGCGAAAGCCUGAUGCAGCCAUGCCGCGUGUGUGAAGAAGGCUCUAGGGUUGUAAAGCACUUUCAGUAGGGAGGAAAUGUUGUUGGUUAAUAGCCAGCGAUCUUGACGUUACCUACAGAAGAAGCACCGGCAAACUCCGUGCCAGCAGCCGCGGUAAUACGGAGGGUGCGAGCGUUAAUCGGAAUUACUGGGCGUAAAGCGCGCGUAGGUGGUUUGAUAAGCUAGCUGUGAAAGCCCUGGGCUC